CCUACGGGAGGCAGCAGUGAGGAAUAUUGGGCAAUGCCCGAAAGGGUGACCCAGCAACGCCGCGUGGAGGAUGAAGUCCUUCUGGACGUAAACUCCUUUUAGAGGGGACGAAAAGCCCGAUUUGUCGGGAAUUGACGGUACCCUCAGAAAAAGCACCGGCUAACUACGUGCCAGCAGCCGCGGUAAUACGUAGGGUGCAAGCGUUGUCCGGAUUCACUGGGUGUAAAGGGUGCGCAGGCGGGCUCUUAAGUCAAAGGUAAAAUCCCUCGGCUAAACCGAGAAAUGGCCUUUGAUACUGAGAGCCUUGAGUACGGGAGAGGGAGAUGGAAUUCCAGGUGUAGCGGUGAAAUGCGUAGAUAUCUGGAGGAACACCGGUGGCGAAGGCGGAUCUCGGGGCCUGUCCGGACUCUGAGGCGCGAAAGCAAGGGGAGCGAACAGGAUUAGAUACCCUUGUAGU
rnacentral:rRNA from 1 species